GACGUAGGGCGCGAGCGUUGUCCGGAUUUAUUGGGCGUAAAGAGCUCGUAGGCGGUGUGUCGCGUCGAUCGUGAAAACUUGGGGCUUAACCCUGAGCUUGCGGUCGAUACGGGCAUCACUGGAGUUCGGCAGGGGAGACUGGAAUUCCUGGUGUAGCGGUGAAAUGCGCAGAUAUCAGGAGGAACACCGGUGGCGAAGGCGGGUCUCUGGGCCGAUACUGACGCUGAGGAGCGAAAGCGUGGGGAGCGAACAGG
rnacentral:rRNA from 1 species